rnacentral:tRNA from 1 species
AAUGGAUUUUUCCUCGCUAAA